GAUAGUACACAAAUAGAUGAAUUUGAUUAUUCAGUUAUGCUCUUGCGCUCACGGCGCAAAAAUAACGCCUGUAGUUUGCUUCGGUUUCAUUUCCAUAACAAUUUUUGAUAAGACUGCCCACAAUAAAUAUUUGAACAGGGGACUGUGCGAUUAGCGAACAAAAGACGAGUGUAAACAUACUGUGAAAAGAGAGCGAGAACUUUUGCCAAAAACAACAAACAAGCGUUAGGGAAUCAUAAUCAUAAGUCAUUUGACAGACGAUGAUCAUCAUCAUCAUCUUCAUCAAGUGACAACAAUAACAACUAGCUAAACAAUAACAAGGGCACCACUAACUACAUCGACGACAUCGACGUCGACGUCAGCAGAGGCAGCGACAUCGACAGCAACGUCAACGACGACUGCAAGAUCUGUGUAUGCGUUCAAGUAUUGGUCAUCGGAAUCUAUGAAUCCAACUAAUUGUGUAUAUUGAAGAUAUGAGAGCUUUAUACAAGUACACUGUGCAAACGCGGCACGCGUCCAUUUCAGCAGUGUUCAAUUCUGUUCUGUUCUCUUCUCUUCUCUCUUUCGCUCUCCGCUUGCUCUCUUUGGUGCAGGUAAUGUCGGAAACUUUUGGCGCCAUUUUUAGUUUGCUUUCGAGUGCUCGCGAUACGAGUGCAUAACCAACAAAGCGCGCGCGAAAUGCAAGAAAAAAACGACACCGAGAAAAAUAAUAAUAUGGGGACAACGACAACGCGACACGGUGAAAAUAAAAAGCAUGCGGAAAUGAAGCCAACAACAAGAAAAUUAAGACCACAAUAGAACACAACUUAUGUUAGAAGAUAAAUGCGUGGAAAAUGAUGAAGCCAAGAAUUUCACCGAAUUACAAUUGUUUAUAACGAAACAAAGAUUUUCGGUUAUUUUUUUAGGGCCUAGAAAAUAUUUAAAUUUACAAUAUUGGUCAGGACUUUCUUCCAUGGAGAUAUGAAAUACUUUAUUAAAAGCAGAGCCAUGAAAAUGAUUAAAGUAUUUAUUUUUAAAUCUCACCAAAAUACCAAAAUUUUCAAGCACUUUGCUAAACCACAAAAAUUUCCAAGUAUAUGAAAGUAAAUAUAUAAAUUAAUUGCAAUACUUAAAAUAUUUACUUUUAAAAUCUUAAAAAAAACCAAUAUGUUCAGUUUCUUUCACAACGGAAAUAUCAAAUAAAUCGCCAAAAGCAAGACCAUGACCUAGGUUCAAAGCAAAAAAACGCGGCAAAAAAUAAAUUAUGUGUGGAAAUUUUCAGGGAUAUUAUAAGUAAGAUCUGUCUACAAAUCUGUGGUAUUUUUAUUUUUUUUUUUUCAUGAAAUCUAUUAUCUCUUAGUUUACUAGUCUGAUCUGUAGUGUUUUUUUUUUUAUGUUAAUAAAAAAAACUAUUACUCAUUAUUUUACACACUAUUUAGUUGAAUUUAAAGAUAGUUUGCUGAAUAUAGAAUUAAUAAUCUAAAGCAAAAAGCAAGAUAAAAACGUAUUCACACCACAAAUAGAUUAUGUUUUGAUUAAGUUCCAGGAAUUGACAAUUGCUUUUGCUGUAAAAUGAAGCUAACUCAAGCAAAGGAGUGUAAAGAAAUCCAGCAAGCCACAUUUCACGGUCAAAGACUUCAUCUGUGUAGCCGGAGAGAAUUCAUUCCGCCGGACAAUUUUGUGCACGCAGCUGCAAAAUGCGACUUAAGCAAAAUAAACAUGGGAAAAUUGCAAUGGAGAACAGAGAACAGAGAAUAGAGAAUGGAAAUGGGAAUGAGAAUGGGAAUGUGAAUGGGAGUGGGAAACGUGACCACCGACAACUGAAAAGACUUGGCGACAAUUGCAGCCAUUUGAUAAGGCCAGAGAAGAUGCCGCCACGAUUAAGUAAAACUGAACUCCAUCUCAUCUCAUCUGCAAAAUACCUCAACUAUGAGCCUCAAGUCGCCGACAGGUGGGUGGCGGAGCCAUUCGCUAGGCGCCACAUCAAGGCACAAUGACGGAGCCCCGCAACGAUGACUGAAAUCGAAAACGAAAUGCAAAGCAGACGCUCUGAAUUGCACUCAAAAUGCAGUGGGCGUGGGGCCAUUGAAUGAAAGCACACUGGUGGCCGAAAAUAUUGAUCCAAUUGAUUGAGAAUUUUGGAUUACAGAAUUUUUAUAAAUCCAAAUAUUAUCUAAAAGCAAUUUAAAUAAUUCACCAAAAAUGAGUUCGAUUUAUCAAAUUGAAAUCCAAUAAUUUUUCAAUCACCAUUGAACGCUUCAGUUGCUUAUCGCUUACCUGGAUCCGAUAUUAUCACCAACGCAAUUCAUAACAUUAAAAUGUGAAAAUGCCUUGGACUUCCAAUUCAACACCCACUGUAAACGUCAGUGUACAAAUUAUUGCCCACCGACGACUAAUGAAAAAUACUCGUACUUGUGUUCUUGCUAUAAGCGUGGGGUACUUAAAAAAAUAAUGCACUUGCAUACGAAAGAACUUCUUUGGAUUAUAAAUACCCAAUAAAUUGAAUACCCUUCAAAGAGUAAUUUAUAAAUAAAAUAAAAACAAAUCGUUCCAAAAGAUUAAAGUUGAACUUUAAUACUGAGUAUUAAUUCUGAGUGCAAAAAUUUAAGAUGUUGUCCACUGUCUUAUAUAAAUUAAUUUAAAAACAAAAAAGACAUACAUUAUUGAUAAAUAAAUAUAUGUUUUCACUAUUACCAAAAGAUAUUAUUUUUUCAUAUUACAACACUGUAUUUACAUUCAGAUAAAUUUACAAGAACCUAUAAAGCAACCCAAAAGUUCGAUUUGACCUCAUUAUUCGAUUUGUGACCGCGCACAGUUUAAAAUUAAUAAGUUUAACAAGACCAUAAUUCUUGCGAUUACAAAACGGGAUUUCAGUUAAAUUAGUGAAGGCAUCAAAAAAUAAAUUUCAUCGAGAAUAAGGUUUAAUUGAAUGUUUUUUAAAGAGCGAUUACUUAUCAGGCGCCCCACGUACGUACUUUGCUUUAGCUGUCACUGUAUUGCUGUCUUGCUGUUGCUGUAUGUUUACUUCACUCUUGGCCCGGCUCGGUCUAGAAAUUUUGCUUCGGACUGGCGCUGGCACUGGCACUGGCACUGGUACUGAACAACACUCUGAACUGAAAGCUGAA